rnacentral:rRNA from 1 species
UACAGAGGGUGCAAGCGUUAAUCGGAAUUACUGGGCGUAAAGCGCGCGUAGGUGGUUCGGUAAGUUGAAUGUGAAAUCCCCGGGCUCAACCUGGGAACUGCAUCCAAAACUGCCGAGCUAGAGUAUGGUAGAGGGUGGUGGAAUUUCCUGUGUAGCGGUGAAAUGCGUAGAUAUAGGAAGGAACACCAGUGGCGAAGGCGACCACCUGGACUGAUACUGACACUGAGGUGCGAAAGCGUGGGGAGCAAACAGG